AUCUGGAUCUGGGGGUGACGGAGGUCUCUGUAGGCCCAGCUGAGGUAAAAUCAUCUUCACCCUUACCCUUAAACAAUCAUCGCCUUUAGGAUGCGUUUGGUUCGCACUAUCUUUUAAAUAUUCCUAGUAAUCCAAUGGGAAUAAAAAAAUAUGACGGUGUUUGGCUAAACGCACUAAGUAAUCUAGUUGGUAAUAUUAGAUUCAUUUGGAAAUAAGAUUCACCCCAAAGUACUAAUCUCAUUCCCUUGAGGGGGGAUGGGUAUCCUCAUAUUAAUGGAUUAGGAUAAUCAUAAUAUGUCUAAUCUCUUUCUUUCUUCCUAUCCGCCGGCUAAUUGAUAUUAUUUUUCUUUACACUCUAACCUUAUAUCUCUCUCUAAACUUAUUUUUCUCUCUAAAAUUCAACUUUUUUUUCUCUCUCUAAACUAAGCUUUCUCUCUCUCUCUCUUUUUUUAAAAUUUCAACUCUGUCACUCCCUCUAAUUUCGACUAUAUUUUUCUUUCUAUUUUUUUAAUUAUGCUCUCUCUCUCUAACUUAUACUCUCUCUCCCUUUUUUCUAAAAAAAUGUUGAAAUUUUUGGUAACAUUAUUUAAAAUUAAAUUAAUUAAUUAAUUAAUUAAUUGUAUAUUUUUGUAAUAUUAAAUAACAUGGCUAAUUAAUAUUACCGUGCGAACCAAACACAGGAAUUCCACAUUCUUAGUAAUAGGAUGAAUAGGAAUAAGAUUCUCGAAUAUCUUUUAUUCCUAGUAAUCUUUCAUAAUGCGAACCAAACGCACCCUUAGUCUAAAAUCUAAAUCUCAUCACUCGGCUUAGCUCUUAACUAACGAUUCAACAGAUAUUUAUGAGACAUAAAUUUGCAUUUAGAGAGAGAGAGAGAGAGAGUCCAGCUAGGAUACUAUCGAUCGCAACAAUUCAAAAAGAUCAAAUCAAAAGUUUUGUCCCAUUAAUAUUUCAAAAUCAAAAUAAUAUACACCUCAUAGUUUCAGGAACAAAAGUGUAAUUUAAUGCUGCACUUAUACUACCCAUGUUGAAGCUAUUAUUGGUAAACAAGACGUCUUGGAAAGCAAUGAUAUAUGCAGUUGUUUUUGCAAAUAUAACAUUCCGAGGAGAAAAUUAUAAUUCAUAAAUUUUGUGCGGGGUAUGGGUAAAACCAAUGAUCUUUGGCGUGUUGAAGUCAAUUAUUCAACAUUUUCAAGGGUUUACUUAUAUUAUUAUAAAGAUGAUAUAAUUAAAACUGUGCAAUUAGACAUGCAGUAAUUAUUACAAUUCGAAUAAUAAGUUUUUGAUACGCGUGCAUCACUCUGUAAAUGGUCGUCACUUGUGCAUCUCAAAUUGUUCCCGUUUGAGUUUUCAGUAGCAUC
rnacentral:lncRNA from 1 species